GCUUCCUCAGGACUAAAAGAUUUUCUCUGUGGUCCCUUAGCAUUUUAUUUAUUUUGCUAGGACUUAGAAGUCUGUGAAGUCUUCGAGGGCAAACAUCAAAGCCUAUUCUUUUUUGUAUCACCUGUAGCAUUUAACUCAGUACCUGCUAUAGCGCAGGUACUGAGCAAAUGUUGAUUAAAGGACACGAGUUUAUUUUGCCUUUCUUUGUCAGAGCUGUUAUGCCACAGAUAGAAAUUUCCACUCUGUAUUAACUUCUCUUGUGAAAUGGCAUCUGGAACACGGAUUACAACAAUCCAUUUAACUACUAUGAAACGGUUCUGGAGUGACACUGUUGUGAAGAGGAAAUUCCAGCGGAGCUACUGGAGCAAGCCUUUGAUCUGCCAUAUUGAACUCCUCCAGCUGUGCGGAUUCACUGCACUAUAAGAAAAACAUUUCUACGACCACUUUAAAGCUAAACUCAUUUCAGGUUUGUGCUGAAGAGAGAUUGAGAAAAGGCUAAAAGGCUAGCCCAGGCUUCCAUUUUGAGACAGCAAGAGUACCCAGCAAUAUGACGGACGUAACUAGUGGCAAGCAGGAUUGUGUGGGUUUUUUCUUUGAAGAUCUUCUGUAGUAAAACAGAAUGGAACUUGUCUAUUUAUGACAUUUUUCAAUUUUUCUGGGCAGUCAAUGAAACAUAACAUUACCAACAUCAUUUUCUCUCACCUGAUCUAAGAGAUUUUUCUUUUUGUCAUUUUUUAAUACUUCACCCGUUACAAAAGUUUUUCCACCUCUUACAUUUUGCAGUUACUAAUAUUAGGAAAUGCAAUGCCAAUUUGUUUGCAAGCCAUGUAAAAGGAACAUCUUAACAGGAUAGCAAAUGAUUAAAUACAUGGUAUAUUGUGUGGCAUAUAUUUGGUGGUUUUGUGACCUGAAAUGAUCUAAUGUCUAGUGUUUAAUCUUAUACCAUCAAAGUAAGGUCAUCUUUGCCCUAUUUCUUUAUUGCUCUUUGUGCUCAUAUAUGUUUAUUGAACAUUUGUGUGUAUUUAGCAGUGACAGGGAUGAAAAUAGUCUGAGGUUUAGGGAAGCAUUAUUUUUCAGGCUUCAAGAAUAAAACCGAUGUUUUCCAGGGCACAGAAUGCCUACCUGUGCCUAGGUGAUAAGGUCUCCAGCACAAUGAGCUCUUUUGUUCUGGGAAACAGGCCCAGGCUUAUUCUACUACUUCCCCGUUUUACAAUCUUGCUAAAGUUGACCUUUACCUAUCUUGUGGUGCUUUUUCAACAAAAAUAAAAUUCUUAACUGGGCUCAUUUUUAUGACUGACUAUAAAACCUCCCUUUCAACUUCACCUGUUAAUAAAGGGAACCAGCUCUUCCUUCUCCUGUAUGCUUGGGAAAAAUAGAGUAAAAACAAUAAACAAAAUAGUUACUGGAAAUUUUAGACUAACUGAAAAAAAAAAGGUAUUGAGGUUAGUCUUACAAUGUGUAAGAUUCUCAAAUAGUCCUUAAAUAUAAUCCUUAAUUUAAUUUUUAAAAUGCUGUGUUUUCUUAAACCACUUCUCUCUCUUUCACAUCCCCUCUACCACCACCCUGCGGGUCUUUUGCAAUAGAUAACUUUCCCUGGUAGAAUGUUCGUAGGAUUCACUUUUGAUAUGGGUUAUUUUUUGGAACAAUGACAGAUUAAUUGAUGGGUGGUUGGGGUAAUCUUUACUAUUUGGUACUGCUAUCUUUAAAUACUUAGUAGAUAAUUGCUCUGAUUAAAUUUGUCUGUUAAACACAGUAGCUUUGAUAAACAUUGCAAGAGGAUAAAGUAAUGCAAUCCCCUUUUAAUACAAAAUAUUUUAUUUGAAUGGGUUUUUAAUCAAUAAAGAGCAAUUUAGUUCUCAGAGAUGCAUGGGCAAUUCCCAUUGAUUUGUAUGAAAUCCUUGGAUUCUUUUUAGAGUGAUGGAUGGUUUAGUGUGGCUGUUUAAAAAUAAAAUUUUAU
rnacentral:lncRNA from 10 species